AAAUAACAUUACCUUUAGUUUGUAAUUAGCAUUUAAUCUAAAUUUAAAUGAUUUUCUCUAUUGAUAUAUAUGAUAAACACCAUGAGUUUCUCUUUUUGUAGAUGGAACAUGUCUUGGAUAAAAACCGUCCUCCAGGAGAUCUUGGAUGGAAUCCACCGUAAGAAUUCUUAGUCCAAUGUAAUGUAAAGAACAUAGAAUGUAACACAACAUCUGAAGAGUGUUUCUUUUUGUUAUUUCAGAUUGGGAACGCUUGUCUAAAAGUUGUGGAGGAAGCUGCACAGACGUGUAAUUUGUCAUCCUGUUACAUCUUCUCUUUGGUUCUAGACAUGAUGGUGGUUGUGUGUUCAUGUCUGUGUGUGUCUGUUUCCUUUAGGGGAAAAUGUCGACAUCGCUGAGCUUUAUGAAGGAUCCUCAAGUUUACCUACUGCUCUCCUUGCUGGUACUAUUUUGAUUGUUGUUUUUUUUUCUCCUGUGUGUACAUGUUUACUAAUUUGUAUCAAUCCCUGUAAGAAACCUUCAGGUCAGAGGUCAUGCUGAUGUUUCCAUCUUGGAGCAGACAGACAGGUCAAGCUGAUCACUACCUGCUUUGUCAGGAGGAUAGCAGCUCUGAUUUACCCUGGACCCUGGCUGGAGAACACAGGAAGAGAUCUUGAGGUAUGUUGUCAGCACAAACUUUUGAAAGCUCGUUGUUCACAAUAAUGCAAUUAAAUCUAGCAGGUGCAUGUCAGCUCUUUAUUUAAGUGUUCACUUUUCUUUUGUUAGAUCUUUCCCAAGCAGAUGUCCAGCAAUUGCUGCGGCAUUUUCAUGCUGAUGUAUGCUCUCUCCAUCUGCACAUCGUCGGAAAUGACAUUCACUGAAGUAAGUUUUUUCAAAAAGGACAACCAAAAUACCUGAGCCAGUUUUCAGUUCUGUUGAAGAUUAUAUUUUCUUUUCCUUAAGGGGGACAUGCCGGCAAUUCGGCUGUGGUGGUGUCUUCAGUCGAUGGAGAGAUUUUGCACUGACGGGCAUGGACAUAGAUUUGCGUUUUGGACGGAAGAAGCAUCUCUGCUUCUUCAGGGAACUCUCCAGCCAGUAUUCAGAGUUCGAAAGGCAACCACCUCCAAACC
rnacentral:lncRNA from 1 species